rnacentral:rRNA from 1 species
CAAUAGCGUAUAUUAAAGUUGUUGCGGUUAAAAAGCUCGUAGUUGGAUCUCGGCAGGCAGGGGGUGGUUCGCUCUUAGCGCUACUGCCCCAUUUGCCUGUGUGAUUGGCGGAGGUUUCGGGGUGCUCUUCGUUGAGUGACCCGGGGCGCCGUCAGGUUUACUUUGAAAAAAUUAGAGUGCUCAAAGCAGGCUUUUCACGCUUGAAUAUUCGUGCAAGGAAUAAUGGAAUAGGAACUCGUUUCUAUUUUGUUGGUUUUCGGAAAUCGAGUUAAUGAUUAAUAGGGACAAUUGGGGGCAUUAGUAUUCAGACGACAGAGGUGAAAUUCUUGGACCGUCUGAAGACUAACUACUGCGAAAGCAUUUGCCAAGAGUGUUUUCAUUAA